CGGUACGUGAUGGUGUGUGAGUGGUAUUUGGUUUGUGUGGUUGGCGGGCUCUUUGCUUGUGCAUUGGACCGUUCACCAACAUACCUUUUCAUUGUAUGCUGCAAGUGCACCAUUUUGCCUUGGGCGACGUGUGGUCCCUAUGUUGGAUUCCGAUUAACGGUAUUGUUGUUGUCCCUUUAAAGAGUGAUAUUCGCUCUACGUCCGUAAAAGGAGGUCGAGCGGACCAUGAAACUUGACUCGUUAUCCUCCUGUCAUGUGAAAACAAGCAUGAUAGGGUUGGAUUAUGAUCUCAAGUUGGGCCCUAGGAUACAGAAAGUUGUGUGGGAGUUGAUGUUAAAACGUCGCAAACCCAAAGCGUUGGUACGCUAACGAUGGAUGACAUUCGAGUGUGUUGUGAUUCUUUCAUUCUAGAAAGGUUCAUGCGCGCCGAUGUCGACCGAGGAGUGCUACCUGGUUGAUCCUG
rnacentral:misc_RNA from 1 species